rnacentral:rRNA from 1 species
GGACCAAUUUGUUGGUCGUGCCUCGGUACGUACUGGUAUUAUUGGUUUCUCCCUUCUGAAGAACCUCGAUGCCAUUAAUUUGGUGUCGUGGGGAAUCAGGACUGUUACUUUGAAAAAAUUAGAGUGUUUAAAGCAGGCCUACGCUUGAAUACAUUAGCAUGGAAUAAUAGAAUAGGACUUUGGUUCUAUUUUGUUGGUUUCUAGGAUCGAUGUAAUGAUUAAUAGGGAUAGUUG